GAUGAACGCUGGCGGCGUGCCUAAUACAUGCAAGUCGAGCGAACAGACGAGGAGCUUGCUCCUCUGACGUUAGCGGCGGACGGGUGAGUAACACGUGGAUAACCUACCUAUAAGACUGGGAUAACUUCGGGAAACCGGAGCUAAUACCGGAUAAUAUAUUGAACCGCAUGGUUCAAUAGUGAAAGACGGUUUUGCUGUCACUUAUAGAUGGAUCCGCACCGCAUUAGCUAGUUGGUAAGGUAACGGCUUACCAAGGCGACGAUGCGUAGCCGACCUGAGAGGGUGAUCGGCCACACUGGAACUGAGACACGGUCCAGACUCCUACGGGAGGCAGCAGUAGGGAAUCUUCCGCAAUGGGCGAAAGCCUGACGGAGCAACGCCGCGUGAGUGAUGAAGGUCUUCGGAUCGUAAAACUCUGUUAUUAGGGAAGAACAAAUGUGUAAGUAACUAUGCACGUCUUGACGGUACCCAAUCAGAAAGCCACGGCUAACUACGUG
rnacentral:rRNA from 1 species